rnacentral:rRNA from 1 species
UACGUAGGUGGCGAGCGUUAUCCGGAAUGAUUGGGCGUAAAGGGUGCGUAGGCGGCCUGCUAAGUCUGGAGUGAAAGGUACCGGCUCAACCGGUACAGGCUCUGGAAACUGGCGGGCUAGAGAGCAGGAGAGGGCGGUGGAACUCCAUGUGUAGCGGUAAAAUGCGUAGAUAUAUGGAAGAACACCAGUGGCGAAGGCGGCCGCCUGGCCUGUUAACUGACGCUGAGGCACGGAAAGCGUGGGGAGCAAAUAGG